UACGGGGGGGCAAGCGUUGUUCGGAAUUACUGGGCGUAAAGGGCUCGUAGGUGGCCAACUAAGUCAGACGUGAAAUCCCUCGGCUUAACCGGGGAACUGCGUCUGAUACUGGAUGGCUUGAGAUUGGGAGAGGGACGCGGAAUUCCAGGUGUAGCGGUGAAAUGCGUAGAUAUCUGGAGGAACACCGGUGGCGAAGGCGGCGUCCUGGACCAACACUGACACUGAGGAGCGAAAGCCAGGGGAG
rnacentral:rRNA from 1 species